rnacentral:rRNA from 1 species
GACGAACGCUGGCGGCGUGCUUAACACAUGCAAGUCGAACGGAAAGGCCCUGCUUUUGUGGGGUGCUCGAGUGGCGAACGGGUGAGUAACACGUGAGUAACCUGCCCUUGACUUUGGGAUAACUUCAGGAAACUGGGGCUAAUACCGGAUAGGAGCUCCUGCUGCAUGGUGGGGGUUGGAAAGUUUCGGCGGUUGGGGAUGGACUCGCGGCUUAUCAGCUUUUUGGUGGGGUUGUGGCUUACCAAGGCUUUGACGGGUAGCCGGCCUGAGAGGGUGACCGGCCACAUUGGGACUGAGAUAAGGCCCAGAAUCCUACGGGAGGCAGCAGUGGGGAAUAUUGCACAAUGGGCGGAAGCCUGAUGCAGCAACGCCGCGUGCGGGAUGACGGCCUUAGGGUUGUAAACCGCUUUCGCCUGUGACGAAGCGUGAGUGACGGUAAUGGGUAAAGAAGCACCGGCUAGCUACGAG